CGCCAACCGGACCAAAAAACUUUAAAAACGCUUUCUCCUUCCUUUCUUCUAAAAUAUUCUGUUUCAAAACUUGAAAAGCUUCUGAAAAUCAUUCUCUCAAAAUUUCAGCUCCAACCAAUCACUGGAGCUAAACCCACACCGAAUCAAAAAACAAACCUAAUUCCUAAAUCACAGCUGCGUGACUUGAACACUCUCUUUCCCUUUUCCUUUUCCAUGGACCACAAUGUAACCGUUUUCACCAACCGCCAAGAAUCCGUUACCGCUAAUGACGAUGAUGAUGCAUCCAAAACCAUUGGUCACGGCGGCGGAGGCGGCGGUUUUGGUAGGAUAGGCGGCAGCAUUGCGGAGAGGAGGGCGGCAAAGUGCGGGUUCAAAGCGGAGAGGAUAAGUACGGCGAGGUUUCGGGCUUCCACUAGCCCAUUGGGCUCCCCAUCGGUCCCGUCGCCUUACCUUACUAUUCCUCCUGGGAUUAGCCCCACUGCUUUGUUGGAUUCUCCUAUUAUGUUGCCCAACGCUCAGGCAUCUCCCACUACUGGAACAUUUCUGGUACCGCUUCUCAAUCAGGAUGGUCAAGUGCUGAAUAUUAGCAAUGGGGACGGAGGCAGCAACAUAGGUCCUUCCUUUACAUUUAAGCCACAGAAUAUGGAUUCUCAGCCAAGCUUUUCUAGUGUAGACGAUCAGGUUUCUUCCUCUUUCAAUCUCGUUCAGAGUACUGAGGGUGAUUAUCAACCUCUUGUCCAUUUGUAUACAACUUUGGAUUUUGAAUUUGCUGCAGAGUUUUCCAAACAAGAUGCUUUAACGAGUUUUGCUACAGAUUCAGUCACCAACGUCAAAGUUUUAAAUAACAUUGUGAAUGAUAAUGCUAAUUUGGGAUUCCAUCCUUCUGAGUUGGCUGGUGAUCAAACAUCCAUGCAGAAAGAGCCUCUUCAUGGACAAGAUGUCAGCACAAAUCUUUCAGAAGCUGAUCAGAAGGGGACAAACACUGCAAUGGGAACAGCAAGAACAUCAGAAGAUGGAUAUAAAUGGAGGAAGUAUGGACAGAAACAGGUAAAGGGUAGUGAAUAUCCAAGAAGCUACUAUAAAUGUACCCAUCCAAAUUGCCAGGUGAAGAAGAAGGUAGAGCGUUCACUUGAUGGCCAAAUUACUGAAAUCAUCUACAAGGGUGCACACAAUCACCCAAAGCCUCAGCCUUGUCUUCGCCAAUCACUUGGGUCCACUUUAUCAUCUGAUGAAAUGUCAGAGACUGCAGAAGGCAGUGGAACUUGUGUCAAAGUUGAAGGUUGUUUAAUUUGGAAAAAUGCCCAAGCAGGUUCAAAGGAUAUUAAGCUUGGAUCUGAUUGGAGAGCCGAUGGUCUAGAAAGAACAUCCUCAACAUCUGUUGUAACUGAUCUUUCUGAUCCACUAUCAACUGCCCAAGGGAAAUCUAUUGGUGCAUUUGAAUCAGCUGAUACCCCAGAGUUUUCAUCAACGCUUGCCAGUCACGAUGAUGGGGCUACCCAGGGAAGUAUAUCACUCUGUGAUGAUGCAGCUAAUGAUGAUGAUGAGUCUGAGUCAAAAAGAAGGAAGACAGAGACAUGCUUGACUGAGAUGAAUGUGGCAUCUGGGGCUCUCCGUGAACCAAGAGUUGUUGUGCAAAUAGAAAGUGAUGUGGACAUACUCGAUGAUGGCUAUCGUUGGAGGAAGUAUGGACAGAAGGUUGUCAAAGGAAACCCUAAUCCUAGGAGCUACUACAAAUGCACAAGUCCUGGAUGUCCAGUGAGAAAGCAUGUGGAAAGAGCUUCCCAUAAUCUAAAAUGUGUACUCACGACAUACGAUGGAAAACACAAUCAUGAAGUUCCAGCAGCCAGAAGCAGCAGUCAUGUUAACUCAAGUGGUUGUAAUUUACCCCCAAUCGUGCCUAAUACUCAAGCUGCUCUGGCAUUAUCCAGAAAUACCCAUGCUCUAAAGCCUGAAACUCCAAUCCAAGAUAUUGCACCUCCUUUUGAUCAAAAGCCUGAAUUUAAAAAUGAAUAUAUGAGAUUUGGUUUUCUUGGGGAUUUCAGCAAUGAGAUGAAGCUUGGGGCAGCUUCUCUAGCUUCUGUUUACCAAAUGAAGUUUCCUUCCUUCCAGAAAGCUAUUCCUUUUAGCUCUUUUGGACUGAACCCAAAUGACAUUGCAACUCAUUCAUCUGGCUUAAUUGCCUCAACAGUUCCAAAUUUUCCAAUUUCAGUGCCGUUGAAUCUCCCAACAUUUGCAAAUCUACCAUUGGCUGGUUUUGGUAUUAAUAAUAGUGGAAAGUCAACUGGUCCAAUUCACUCUUUCCUUCCAGGGCAACAGUUAAAAGAGAAUGGUACAAGGUUUCAUGGCAUUAAACAGGAGCUAAAGAAUGAUAACCACUAUGUUGCUUGCCUUCCCAUUGUUGAACAUACAAGUGCAUCAUCAUCAUCAUCAUCAUCAUCAUCAUCAUCAUCAGUCUAUCAGCAGGCCAGUGGAAAUUUUCCAUCCUAGAUCGCAUUUUGCUUCUUACCAGAGUCUGUAAGAUGUUGGCUUCUACUUGAGUUUCUCCAGAAUUAAAAGUUUUAAAUAUCUUACUGUAGCUUACUUUAGACCAGGAUCAAGCAGCGUGCGAAGUCUCCGGGUAUAUUAGGGCUAAUUACACCUUGCUUAAAGGACUGCUUGCCGGAUUUGCAAUUUGCAUAUUUAUCUAUGCAUUUUCUGUCCAUUUUUUAGCGGGUAUGGGAUUGGCUAUCUAUUUUGCAUACUUUCAUUUUUUGGCCGAAGAAAACAAUGGCAGGGCCAAGCAAGAAGCUGGUAAAUGAGAGCUAGCUACAGGGACUCUUGUGGCAAGCAAAGAAGGUGAUGGCAGUGUAGCUUGACCGGUUUUUUUUUUUUUCUCCCUUCAUUUUGGCAAUUGGACUUGAUUACAUUACAAUAAAAGAUGGAAUGGCUUAGUUGAAUGAAAUAAAAGUAUUUAGAUGAAGUGCACGUUUGG